rnacentral:rRNA from 1 species
CGUAGGUGGCAAGCGUUGUCCGGAAUUAUUGGGCGUAAAGCGCGCGCAGGCGGCUUCUUAAGUCCAUCUUAAAAGUGUGGGGCUUAACCCCGUGAUGGGAUGGAAACUGAGAGGCUGGAGUAUCGGAGAGGAAAGUGGAAUUCCUAGUGUAGCGGUGAAAUGCGUAGAGAUUAGGAAGAACACCGGUGGCGAAGGCGACUUUCUGGACGACAACUGACGCUGAGGCGCGAAAGCGUGGGGAGCAA